rnacentral:rRNA from 1 species
AUUAAACGCUGGCGGCAUGCCUUACACAUGCAAGUCGAACGGCAGCACGGGGGCAACCCUGGUGGCGAGUGGCGGACGGGUGAGUAAAGCAUCGGAACGUAUCCUGGAGUGGGGGAUAACGUAGCGAAAGUUACGCUAAUACCGCAUAUUCUGUGAGCAGGAAAGCAGGGGAUCUUCGGACCUUGCGCUUUUGGAGCGGCCGAUGUCGGAUUAGCUAGUUGGUGGGUAAAGGCCCACCAAGGCGACGAUCCGUAGCGGGUCUGAGAGGAUGAUCCGCCACACUGGAACUGAGACACGGUCCAGACUCCUACGGGAGGCAGCAGUGGGGAAUUUUGGACAAUGGGCGCAAGCCUGAUCCAGCCAUGCCGCGUGAGUGAAGAAGGCC